rnacentral:tRNA from 1 species
UCUAAUUUGGCAGAUCAUUGCGCUAAGUUUAAACCUUAACUAAACCUUUAGUUCGUU